CGCCCUACGGGGGGCAGCAGUGAGGAAUAUUGGUCAAUGGCCGGAAGGCUGAACCAGCCAAGCCGCGUGAAGGACGAAGGUGCCAAGCAUUGUAAACUUCUUUUGUCAAGGGACAAAAUCAGGCUCGAGAGCCUGACCGAGGGUACUUGAAGAAAAAGCAUCGGCUAACUCCGUGCCAGCAGCCGCGGUAAUACGGAGGGGGCAAGCGUUAUCCGGAUUUACUGGGUGUAAAGGGAGCGUAAGUGGCAGGGCAAG
rnacentral:rRNA from 1 species